rnacentral:rRNA from 1 species
GCGGAGGAAGAACCAACAGGGAUUGCCUCAGUAACGGCGAGUGAAGCGGCAACAGCUCAAAUUUGAAAUCUGGCUCCUUCGGGGCCCGAGUUGUAAUUUGGAGAGGGUGUUUCGGGCGCGGCGCCGGUCUAAGUCCCUUGGAACAGGGCGUCACAGAGGGUGAGAAUCCCGUAUGUGACCGGCGGCCAAGCCCAUGCGAAACCCCUUCGACGAGUCGAGUUGUUUGGGAAUGCAGCUCAAAAUGGGUGGUAAAUUUCAUCUAAAGCUAAAUACCGGCCGGAGACCGAUAGCGCACAAGUAGAGUGAUCGAAAGAUGAAAAGCACUUUGGAAAGAGAGUCAAACAGUACGUGAAAUUGUUGAAAGGGAAGCGCUUGCAACCAGACCUGCCCGUGGGCGAUCAGCCUCCGUUCUCGGGGGUGCACUCGCUCGCGAUCAGGCCAGCAUCGGUUCGAGCGGCGGGAUAAAGGCCUUGGGAACGUAGCUCCCCUCGGGGAGUGUUAUAGCCCUCGGUGCAAUGCCGCCCGCCCGGACCGAGGACCGCGCUUCGGCUAGGAUGCUGGCGUAAUGGUUGUCAGCGACCCGUCUUGAAACACGGACCAAGGAGUCUAACAUCUAUGCGAGUGUUUGGGCGUCAACCCCAUACGCGGAAUGAAAGUGAACGGAGGUGAGAACCCUGAAGGGCGCAUCAUCGACCGAUCCGGAUGUCUUCGGAUGGAUUUGAGUACGAGCAUAGCUGUUGGGACCCGAAAGAUGGUGAACUAUACUUGAAUAGGGUGAAGCCAGAGGAAACUCUGGUGGAGGCUCGCAGCGGUUCUGACGUGCAAAUCGAUCGUCAAAUUUGGGUAUAGGGGCGAAAGACUAAUCGAACCAUCUAGUAGCUGGUUCCUGCCGAAGUUUCCCUCAGGAUAGCAGUAACGUUUUCAGUUUUAUGAGGUAAAGCGAAUGAUUAGAGGCCUUGGGGUUGAAACAACCUUAACCUAUUCUCAAACUUUAAAUAUGUAAGAAGUCCUUGUUACUUAGUUGAACGUGGACAUUCGAAUGUACCCGUUACUAGUGGGCCAUUUUUGGUAAGCAGAACUGGCGAUGCGGGAUGAACCGAACGCGAGGUUAAGGUGCCGGAAUGUACGCUCAUCAGACACCACAAAAGGUGUUGAUUCAUCUAGACAGCCGGACGGUGGCCAUGGAAGUCGGAAUCCGCUAAGGAGUGUGUAACAACUCACCGGCCGAAUGAAUCAGCCCUGAAAAUGGAUGGCGCUCAAGCGUGCUACCCAUACCUCGCCGCCAGGGUAGAAACGAUGCCCUGGCGAGUAGGCAGGCGUGGGGGUCAGUGACGAAGCC